AUUGAACGCUGGCGGCAGGCCUAACACAUGCAAGUCGGGCGAGCGGCGGACGGGUGAGUAAUGUAUGGGGAUCUGCCUGUUGGAGGGGGAUAACUACUGGAAACGGUAGCUAAUACCGCAUACCAUCAGAUGAACCCAUAUGGGAUUAGCUUGUUGGUAUGAUAACGGCUUACCUAGGCGACGAUCCCUAGCUGGUCUGAGAGGAGGAUCAGCAACAUGGGGAUGGAGAAACGGCCCAGAUGCCUACGGAAGGAAGAAGUGGGGAAUAUUGCAAAAUGGGGGAAAGCCUGAUGAAGCCAUGCGGCGGUGAUGAAGAGGGCCUGCGGGUUGUAAAGUACGUUCAGCCGGGAGGCGUUACCGACAUAAGAAGCACCGGCUAACUCCGUGCCAGCAGCCGCGGUAAUAC
rnacentral:rRNA from 1 species